rnacentral:rRNA from 1 species
AGAGUUUGAUCCUGGCUCAGGAUGAACGCUGGCGGCGUGCCUAACACAUGCAAGUCGAGCGAUUUACUUCGGUAAAGAGCGGCGGACGGGUGAGUAACGCGUGGGUAACCUGCCUCAUACACAUGGAUAACAUACCGAAAGGUAUGCUAAUACAAGAUGAUAUAAGAGAUUCACAUGGAUUUCUUAUCAAAGCUCCGGCGGUAUGAGAUGGACCCGCGUCUGAUUAGCUAGUUGGUAAGGUAACGGCUUACCAAGGCGACGAUCAGUAGCCGACCUGAGAGGGUGAUCGGCCACAUUGGAACUGAGACACGGUCCAAACUCCUACGGGAGGCAGCAGUGGGGAAUAUUGCACAAUGGGCGAAAGCCUGAUGCAGCAACGCCGCGUGAGCGAUGAAGGCCUUCGGGUCGUAAAGCUCUGUCCUCAAGGAAGAUAAUGACGGUACUUGAGGAGGAAGCCCCGGCUAACUACGUGCCAGCAGCCGCGGUAAUACGUAGGGGGCUAGCGUUAUCCGGAUUUACUGGGCGUAAAGGGUGCGUAGGUGGUUUCUUAAGUCAGGAGUGAAAGGCUACGGCUCAACCGUAGUAAGCUCUUGAAACUGGGAAACUUGAGUGCAGGAGAGGAAAGUGGAAUUCCUAGUGUAGCGGUGAAAUGCGUAGAUAUUAGGAGGAACACCAGUAGCGAAGGCGGCUUUCUGGACUGUAACUGACACUGAGGCACGAAAGCGUGGGGAGCAAACAGGAUUAGAUACCCUGGUAGUCCACGCCGUAAACGAUGAGUACUAGGUGUCGGGGGUUACCCCCCUCGGUGCCGCAGCUAACGCAUUAAGUACUCCGCCUGGGGAGUACGCUCGCAAGAGUGAAACUCAAAGGAAUUGACGG